rnacentral:rRNA from 1 species
CCUACGGGAGGCAGCAGUGGGGAAUCUUGCGCAAUGGGCGAAAGCCUGACGCAGCGACGCCGCGUGAGGGAUGACGGCCUUCGGGUUGUAAACCUCUUUCAGCGCUGACGAAGCAUUGUUACUUUUGUAGUGGUGUGACGGUAGGCGCAGAAGAAGCACCGGCUAACUACGUGCCAGCAGCCGCGGUAAUACGUAGGGUGCGAGCGUUGUCCGGAAUUAUUGGGCGUAAAGGGCUCGUAGGCGGUUUGUCGCGUCUGCUGUGAAAGCCCGGGGCUUAACUCCGGGUCUGCAGUGGAUACGGGCAGGCUAGAGUCCGGCAGGGGAGACUGGAAUUCCUGGUGUAGCGGUGGAAUGCGCAGAUAUCAGGAGGAACACCGGUGGCGAAGGCGGGUCUCUGGGCCGAAACUGACGCUGAGGAGCGAAAGCGUGGGGAGCGAACAGGAUUAGAUACCCUGGUAGUCCACGCCGUAAACGUUGGGCGCUAGGUGUGGGUCUCCUUCCACGGGAUCCGUGCCGCAGCUAACGCAUUAAGCGCCCCGCCUGGGGAGUACGGCCGCAAGGCUAAAACUCAAAUGAAUUGACGGGG